ACUGAUGUUGCUGACUGACUGAUGUUGCUGACUGACUGAUGUUGCUGACUGAUGUUGCUGACUGAUAGAACCAAAGGAUGACUUUCUCACUAGAAAUAGUAAAGAAAACUCUACAGGCUGACAAAUAUCUGUUAUCUCAAGGUUGAUAUCAUCAUAUCUCUGCCACACCCUAGGAGUGGAUGUAUGGAGAUGAAUGUAUGUACGUGUGUUUAUGUGUAACAAUGUGUUAACAUGUUAUUAAUAUUGAUUUAACCAGAAAAGCCCGACAGCAGAAGUAUCAAACUGUAACUAUGGAGGAUUUCAUUUAGAUAGACACACAGAUCUUUAUCAUGUAUGAAGAGAGCUGGGAUGCUUUCACUGAUUUGAAUCUCGGUUUUUUUUACUUCUCUU